GAAGGAGGCCUCACUCUGUCGUUCAAGGCGGGGUUUUACGAUUGCACGUAAGAAUUCAAAUUCGUAUGUAAGAAAAGUAAAUCAUCAUAAAGUAAGUAACGCGGCCGGACCAAGAAAAGUGUGUAAGCAAUUCCCUGGUAAAAAAAUGGUCCACUAUUUGGAAACACACAUCUCGGCCGUUUUCCUGUGUGAGCGGUUUGUAUUGUGUGGUUUUAUACUUGAACUGAGUGAUAAAGUUUUCAUCACUGGCCUUGUCUUCAAAUUCAUCCAAUUGUUCAACCGUACUAAUUGGACUAAACACGCUUUGGUGACUCAUUAUCUCGUGCAGAAUCCUUUCGGCGACAUUGGGUUCCAUCAUGCGUGAUCCUGAUAGACAGAAUAGAGUGAAAUGCUUCCAAGAAUACACACCAAGCACGCACCAAACUACGCAUCGAACAAAAAGCCGGCUGGAACCAUCGAGCACAUUCGAUGUCAAAUCAACAAAAACAAUGUGUACGUCACCG